AACCAUUCAAGGUUCACGCCACCAAAUAUUCUCUCUCGCCUCUCACAACUUCAUGCGCCUCAGGAGUUCUUCUCCAGAUUUGCGCUCCAUGGAUUGUUUUCUAUGUCGAUCACCAUCGGAUUCGCGUCGAUCGUAUGGAGAUCUACGUGUUGAUGGUGGUUUGAGAUUGUGAGGUGAUGGUUUGAGCUGCUUUUGAAUUCAGCUGGUUUUACCAGCCCGAGCUUCUGUGUUCGUCGCUCUUCGAUUCGAAUUUACAGAUUUCGCAGACGGAGCUCUAACCAAAUCGGAGGAGAUUACAAGUAUCCGGCGGCGUUUCAGCAGCUGAUCCAAUUCGAUCUCGUGGUGGCCGAAGCAUGUUUAAUCUUAACCAAAGGGUCAUGGUUCAUGGUUGUAAUUUCAUGAGACUGAAGCUUUUAUAUCGUGGGAUUUGGGUUGGGGUUAUGGGUUGAUUUCGGAUGGAUGUAUAAGAUAUCGGGACGAAAGGCUCGGUGGAAGGGCCGAGUGCUGGACCGAUCUUUGUCAUCCGGCCUUUGCCAUGGCAGGUGCGCUUGCAUGGCAGGUCAAAAAAAUAUCUCAAUAAAAAAAUAACGAUUUUUGGUUCAGAGGGGAGACAGCAUGGGGUUUAUUUUUGCCCAGGGUCUCCCCUCCGGUGUGUGGUGUGCGUCCUCUGUCCUUUCUUGUUGUUUUGUCUCUUAUUUUCGCUCGCCCCCAACUGCAAACAGUCGGACAUGGAUUCUGGACAACUGCGGCCGCAUCGAUAUCUCAUCGCCAAAGGUAUUAAUCUAUUUCAACUGAUUUCAUCAAUCUAAUAAUGCUAAAUAAAGCCUGCCACUCACACAGGGAACAUAUAAUCACUUGCACAAUUAAUUAGCUUCUUGCUCAAAUUGUCUCAAAUCAAUAUGGGUUUUAUCUAAUUUUGUAAACACUAUAAAUUAUCUUUGUUGGAACUUGGUAAUUGAUUGAUGAUGCUAGUGGACGAUGCUUACAAUCUGUGGAGUUGUUCAAUCAAUCUCAAAUUACUCCAAAUUGUUUUCAAUCGACUUUAAAGGGAGCAAAUUUAUUUUAUCUGUUGAUUGUAAAAUAUAAAUUACAAUACUUGAUCACAAUUUUAAAGCUCCAACCGAAAGAUCCAACCACGAAUCAAAACUUUGUUUGAUAUAGUUGGUAAUAUCUGUCCACUUAUGCACAAACGUUGUCAUCCUACUAAACAAUUCCCGACACCUCCGAUUCGUUCCUGCUUACUUUUACCAGUCAUCCUUAUGAUACCAAAGUCUCUUCUGCACUGAUUAUUGCCUCGUUAUUAAUGUUAUGGUAGUUCAAAUUCUAUGAGCUGAGGAUGAGAUUAUCAUUUAAAUUGUUGGCAUUUGCAUUAAUAUUUGCUGAUAAACGGAUGUUAUUAGAUAUUGUGAGAUCUGUUAGUUGACGGAUCUUUUUAUGUAAUUAUGUUGGUUUUGGAUUCCAUUGCUGUAAGCCAUGUAUUGUAUUCCAAUUAGAUGAUUCUAGGGAGGUUUGAUUCCGGCAGAUUACUUCUCGGCGAGCCUGAAUGGCCAGAACGAAGCCUCUCAUCACAAUUACAAGUUAAACUAAAUUUCGGCUCAAAUACAAGCUGCUUGGUUGUGGGAUAGGUCCAGAAGUUAUUUUCGUGACAAUCUCUUUUCUGAGGAUUCGAGGUGACCAAUGAAACGAGUUGAGCUUCGCAUUCCUCCGUCUCUAAAGCUUUUAAGUAUUGGCAAGUAAUGUUUUCGGUUAAUUUACGUUUUGUGAUUUAAGUCAUUGCAAUUGAUCAUUCAUGGGUGUCCGCAUUAUCAUUUAUUUAUUCUAUUCAUUUGUUAAAAGAGUUUAGAUUGAAUAUUUUGCCCUAGUUUUGUUUGUUGUAUAGAAUUGCGGAGGAAUUACUGUUAAACUGGUGUCGUUUUUGUAGUACAUGAUUUUGGUUAUUUUUCAAACAGCUUCGGUGUAGUCGUUCUGUGUUUGUAUUCUGUAGUUUCUAUUUACAAUUACUUACA